rnacentral:lncRNA from 1 species
AAGAACCGCUCUCGGUGGAAAACAUAUAACCAGCUGUUGUCUGAUCGCAGUGCGUAGUUGCUUCCUUUUAUUCCUGCAGGUCGCUAUCAUGACGAAACCGUGCACAGCAACUGCAAUACAUGUACUGGUGGUGCUCCUGACUCUAGCUUACCUUCCAAACCUAGAAUCCCUUGAAGUACACCCAAAAGAAAGAACAAAACGAGAUACUGCGGUAAGCGGAACUUCGUCCGAUUGCCCAACCAAUACCCUGCAGCCAGGCAGCAUGAUGUGCGCUUUGUACUUGGACACUAGGACAUGCGCCGACCUGGAUUGCCAGAGUCAGGACAAGAUCUGCUGCCGCGGCAGUUGCAACCACCUGCAGUGCGUUGGGCGUCCAUAGAAGACAGAGAGACAAUAUAUAGUACAUGAACCUUACUUGCAGCUCUGACAGUAAAGGUCAAAGUACAUGUAUAUUUG